CGGAGGGUGCAAGCGUUAUCCGGAUUCACUGGGUUUAAAGGGUGUGUAGGCGGGCUGUUAAGUCAGUGGUGAAAUCUCCAGGCUCAACCUGGAAACUGCCAUUGAUACUAUCAGUCUUGAAUUUUGUUGAGGUAGGCGGAAUAUGUCAUGUAGCGGUGAAAUGCUUAGAUAUGACAUAGAACACCGAUUGCGAAGGCAGCUUACUAAACAAAUAUUGACGCUGAGGCACGAAAGCGUGGGGAUCAAACAGGAUUAGAUACCCUGGUAGUCCACGCCCUAAACGAUGAUUACUCGACAUACGCGAUAUUACUGUGUGUGUCUGAGCGAAAGCAUUAAGUAAUCCACCUGGGAAGUACGUCCGCAAGGAUG
rnacentral:rRNA from 1 species